UGACAGAAGAGAGUGAGUAC
rnacentral:miRNA from 1 species